UGUUAUAUGUCAAUUCCAUCCGAACAAAGCUGGGAAAAAGUCUGAUGGAGCAACUAAGAGAGCUCACUUGGUUCUUCCUCCUGCUUGGGCUGUGGGUGUGACGGUUGGACCUCCAAAACCAUCUCGUAACUGUGAGAUAUUGAUGCCUUCAGUUGAGAUUAAUUGGAUGUGGUUUCUAAUUAGCAAGAUAAAAAGUUGUGAAGAGGCACAAGUAAAUGAUGGCACUGUAUCGUCAACCGCUCUCCACCUCCUUUUGGACUGGUAAAUCAUUUUGGUGUGUUGUUUCAGU
rnacentral:lncRNA from 1 species